rnacentral:rRNA from 1 species
GUGUCAGCCGCCGCGGUAAAACGUAGGGGGCGAGCGUUGCCCGGAUUCACUGGGCGUAAAGCGGGUGUAGGCGGUUCCUUAAGUCGGAUGUGAAAUCCUACGGCUCAACCGUGGAACUGCAUCCGAUACUGGGGAACUUGAGGACGGUAGAGGUCGGUGGAAUUCCAGGUGUACCGGUGAAAUGGGCAGAUAUCUGGAGGAACACCAGUGGCGAAGGCGGCCGACUGGGCCGAUCCUGACGCUGAGACCCGAAAGCCAGGGUAGCGAACCGGAUUAGAAACCCCGGUAGUCC